CCACAGGGUGGCAGGACCCCUCAGCUGAUGCACAAGAAGGCCACCUUAGUGAAUUUCAAAUGAACAGGCCUUUUUUUAUUGGCUGAGCAAAUAACUAAGCAUGUGUGGUUAUAACAACAAUGGUCAAAGAGAACCUGCUAGAAGCUGCUGGGUAAAGACUGAGCACGUAUAAUUGAUCUGCAUAGGAAGCACAAUGAAGGCAGCAGUUCAUAUUUUAUUCAUUCUUUUCUGCCUUUGGAUGAACUGGGAGAGUCAAGGCGAGAAUGUGGAGCAGCAACCUUCCACCGUGAGUGUCCAGGAGGGAGACAGCACUGUCAUCAACUGCACUUACACAGACAGCGCCUCAGUCUACCUCCCUUGGUAUAAACAAGAGCCUGGGAAGCAGCCUCAGUUCAUCAUUGACAUUCGUUCAAAUGUGGAAAGGAAGCAGAGCCAAAGACUCACCCUUCUAUUAAAUAAGAAAGUCAAACACCUUUCCUUGCACAUCACAGCCAUUCAGCCUGGAGAUUCAGCCAUCUACUUCUGUGCAGCAGAUACACACUGCUCCACAGGCCCCUGCAAUCUCUCUUCAAACCUGCCACCAGGACUGGGUGACACUCUUUGUGCUGUGUCAGAUAUUUUAUGACAACUUUUGUCACAUUGUUUGUUUGAGAGCAGAAACUAAUAUAUAGAUAUUAAAAGCAUGUAUAAUAAGGCCCAAGAUGACCCAGGAAGUUUAGGUUAUAUUAUUGAUUGUUGCUUAAUGAUUAUUUUUAAAUGCAUAUGUGUUCUACAUGUUAAAUGUGUACUGUGUACUAUGAUAUCUUGGUUUAAGUAAACAUAGGGAAAUGAAUAGUUUGGUGAGUAGGUGCACAAAGCAAUGUCUGAAGUAACGUGUAAACCUUCAUCUUCUUUCUAUGUGAGCUGAUACUAGCAUCUCCAUGUGUUCAGCAAUCUAAAAGCUCUGUGUAACAGAUUCUUACAGGGAUUUAUGAUGGUUUGUUUCAAAAUCAUGUGUUAAAUGACCAACCCUACAAGCAAGGCAGCCCCACUGCUGCAAUUGUGACUUGACAAUUUGUUGGAGUAACCAACUACUUUCUCAUUGCAGUUGACGCCUGCUUUGUAGGAGGAGAUACAUGUGAAGUAUGUCAAUCUGUCCAGAAGUCUAAGGCUGUGAAAUUGCAAAAGAGAGAAAAUGCUGCUUUAAUAAAUGAUUAUACAUCUUAUAUAGGAAAACAUUAUGAGCAACACAUUCUGAAACAACUAUAGAAGUUGUGAGUGAGGGAAGUUCUGACGGACUCAAUAUUCAUUACCUUGAACUUGUAAGAAACAAAGGUUCUGAGCCAAAGGUUGGCAUUUGCAAAUUAUAUUUAUAUGUUAAAUACAACAACAAUUAUGGAACAGAUGUAGACAAAGAUGAGAAAGAAUAGCUUUGAGACAAUACA